GACGAACGCUGGCGGCGUGCCUAAUACAUGCAAGUAGAACGCUGAAGGAGGAGCUUGCUUCUCCGGAUGAGUUGCGAACGGGUGAGUAACGCGUAGGUAACCUGCCUGGUAGCGGGGGAUAACUCUUGGAAACGAUAGCUAAUACCGCAUAAGAGUAGAUGUUGCAUGACAUUUGCUUAAAAGGUGCAAUUGCAUCACUACCAGAUGGACCUGCGUUGUAUUAGCUAGUUGGUGGGGUAACGGCUCAACAAGGCGACGAUACAUAGUCGACCUGAGAGGGUGAUUGGCCACACUGGGACUUGGACACGGCCCAGACUUCUUCGGGAGGGAGCAGGAGGGGAACUUCGGCAAAUGACGGAAGUCUGACCGAGCAACGCCGGGGGAGGGAAGAAGGGUCUCGGAUCGGAAAGAUCUGUUGUAAGAGAAGAACGAGUGUGGGAGUGGAAAGUUCACACUGUGACGGUACCUAACCAGAAAGGGACGGCUAACUACGUG
rnacentral:rRNA from 1 species